AAGUAAGGUAGAAAGCAGAGUGCUUUCUACAAGCCAAGAAGUGGCCCCCCAACAGAUACCAAGCUCUGGACCUCCUGGUGCCUUGAUUUUGGACUUCCCAGCCUUUUUCAGACCUGUGAGAAAGGUCCGCCGCAUCUUGGAAGGAAACUUCAAAGCUCAUUUAAAGUCAGCCUCUCACAUAGCCCUGCUGGUCUAACUUUCUUCUGAAUGUGAUUUCAGAAGUAAAACCAGGCCAGGGGCUGGGACUCAGGACAGUGCUAGGACUGCUUUUUUCUAUAUCAGACACGUGGGCUCCUGCUGUGUCUUCCUGGAAAGCAGAGGCCAAGGAUGGAGCAGACCAAGAGGAUGCCAGGAAAAAUCACAAAGAAGCCCAGAAAGCACAGCUGGAAGCCAAGAACCCUAUUUUUGGUUUGUGUGGGUGGAAGGUGAGGGACAACAUAUAGUGACCAACAGGAUUCUUCAUUUGAAAGAGAAUGGAGUACAUCAGACCUGUGUAUUUAGGUGAAGUAUGAUAAACAUCAUCAUACUUCAAAGAUUAUGAACAUCAAAGAUUAUGGAAAGGAACAUGACUGCUU
rnacentral:lncRNA from 1 species